rnacentral:lncRNA from 1 species
ACUAGGGACAUUGGGACAUUAGAUGUAAAGAAUGUGAUGAUUAUUCUUAUAAAAAAAAUAUUUUAAUUCGGUGAGCUUUCUUUUUAUGAAUUUGCUGUGAUUUGAUGCAUAUAGGUCAGGAUGCCUCAACGUCGGGCGAAAAAGACUACUAUUGGUGCUACGAAUGAGACACUGAACCGGCACGCUGACAGCACACCCCAACGGGCUACGAGUAUCCCUCAGCAGGAGGGAGUCAUGAGCCCUCAAA